AACGUACUCCCUCCGUUCCAAAAUUCUUGUCUUAGAUUUAUCUAAAUACAAAUGUAUCAAGUCACAUAUAGUAUUAGGUACAUCCGUAUCUAGACAAAUUUAAGACAAAAAUUUUGGGACCGAGGGAGUAGAUC
rfam:Triticum aestivum genome assembly, contig: Triticum_aestivum_CS42_TGACv1_scaffold_641303_T_3DL-0.148385_1DL-0.143334